GCGGCAGGCNUAACACAUGCAGUCGAACGGUAACAGGAACCAGCUUGCUGNUUCGCUGACGAGUGGCGGACGGGUGAGUAAUGUCUGGGAAACUGCCUGAUGGAGGGGGAUAACUACUGGAAACGGUAGCUAAUACCGCAUAACGUCGCAAGACCAAAGAGGGGGACCUUCGGGCCUCUUGCCAUCGGAUGUGCCCAGAUGGGAUUAGCUAGUAGGUGGGGUAACGGCUCACCUAGGCGACGAUCCCUAGCUGGUCUGAGAGGAUGACCAGCCACACUGGAACUGAGACACGGUCCAGACUCCUACGGGAGGCAGCAGUGGGGAAUAUUGCACAAUGGGCGCAAGCCUGAUGCAGCCAUGCCGCGUGUAUGAAGAAGGCCUUCGGGUUGUAAAGUACUUUCAGCGGGGAGGAAGGGAGUAAAGUUAAUACCUUUGCUCAUUGACGUUACCCGCAGAAGAAGCACCGGCUAACUCCGUGCCAGCAGCCGCGGUAAUACGGAGGGUGCAAGCGUUAAUCGGAAUUACUGGGCGUAAAGCGCACGCAGGCGGUUUGUUAAGUCAGAUGUGAAAUCCCCGGGCUCAACCUGGGAACUGCAUCUGAUACUGGCAAGCUUGAGUCUCGUAGAGGGGGGUAGAAUUCCAGGUGUAGCGGUGAAAUGCGUAGAGAUCUGGAGGAAUACCGGUGGCGAAGGCGGCCCCC
rnacentral:rRNA from 1 species